ensembl:lncRNA
GUAUCGGAAUGUGUUCACAAGCUCUGCAUCAAUCCAUUAUCUGGAAUCGAUUUGCCUUGACUUGAUGUGCAGGGUAACCAAUCAGGUGUUAGGAUCCGCCCACCGACUUUGACGGACGAGGUUGACAGUCCUCCAUAGAGGGGACCUACACCCGCUCGCAUACCUGGGAUUCCAUCCUUCAGAGACCCCCGGAUGGCGAGGGGGAUGGUCGAUCUGACAGAUUCUGACAGAUCUGUCAGAUUGGCCACGUAAUAAAAAAGGACCUGUCAUCACACGUCGGAUGAAGCUCUGAAGAAGACUGCAGAUGCAGUCAAUACAUGUCAGCAAGGCUAUUGUGAACGCUGCGUGCCAUACAUAGACAGUGCAGCGAUCUGUGACCAGGUCCAUUUGGAAGAGGCGAACCUGGGUGCAAGUGACAGUGUGUCAAGUGUCCAUGCCUGUGAUUCAAGAUUUUUAUUUGCUAUUUGUACACAUUAGCAGACAGGUUAGGCACAUAGAAAUUCGUGUGCAGGGCUUUCUUUGAAAUCGAGGUAAAGAACAGACAACACAACCAUCAAAAACAGAAUUAAAAAAAGACACUCUAUAAGCGUGAUAUAAAAUCUAAAAGAUAAAUUAAAAAAAUAAGAGAAC